GACAGAGGGUGCAAACGUUGUUCGGAAUUACUGGGCGUAAAGCGCGUGUAGGCGGCCAUACAGGUCAGCUGUGAAAACUCGAGGCUCAACCUCGAGACGUCGGUUGAAACCGUAUGGCUAGAGUCCGGAAGAGGAGAGUGGAAUUCCCGGUGUAGCGGUGAAAUGCGCAGAUAUCGGGAAGAACACCCGUGGCGAAGGCGGCUCUCUGGGACGGUAUUGACGCUGAGACGCGAAAGCAUGGGGAGCGAACAGG
rnacentral:rRNA from 1 species